UGGGGAAUAUUGGACAAUGGAGGCAACUCUGAUCCAGCAAUUCUGUGUGUGUGAAGAAGGUUUUAGGACUGUAAAACACUUUUAGUAGGGAAGAAAGAAAUGACGGUACCUACAGAAGAAGCGACGGCUAAAUACGUGCCAGCAGCCGCGGUAAUACGUAUGUCGCGAGCGUUAUCCGGAAUUAUUGGGCUUAAAGGGCAUCUAGGCGGUUAAACAAGUUGAAGGUGAAAACCUGUGGCUCAACCAUAGGCUUGCCUACAAAACUGUAUAACUAGAGUACUGGAAAGGUGGGUGGAACUACACGAGUAGAGAUGAAAUUCGUAGAUAUGUGUAGGAAUGCCGAUGAUGAAGAUAACUCACUGGACAGAAACUGACGCUGAAGUGCGAAAGCUAGGGGAGCAAACAGG
rnacentral:rRNA from 1 species